CUGCGUCUCAUCUCCUCCCCAAAUCUCUCUCUCUCUCUUCGCGAUCUCGCUGCCAUUUCACCCUCAUCGCCUCUCUCUAUGGCCUCUGAUGAAAUCCGGCGAGCCGCCGCUUUCAACGGCUCUGUGCUCUCUCUCCCUUCUUUGUCUUCCACAGAACCCCAAAUCUAGAACCAUAGGACUUCGACCUCUUCGUGCCGCCCUUUUCCGCCGACCUCUCCUCACGCAGCCUGUACACGCCCAAACCCCUUUCAAUUCCUCAAUCCCUCUUGCCCAAUCACACGAUUCGACUCUCAAUUGUGUGGAAAUGCCAAAGCUAGGGUUCAAAUGAAGCUGGAGGGCUAAAAUCUUCUUCUGCUUCCAAUUGAUUUGUUGCUGAGAAAGAGGAUGUCCGUCGCUGAACUGAAGGAGCGGCAGCAGCCAUGGCCGCCGGCACACCAGACCCUAAUCACCUCUCUUUCUCCUCCAACUCCCGGCGAGCAGUGGCGGAAACGAUGCCACCGGUCCACCUUUCUCUUUC
rnacentral:lncRNA from 1 species